AUGGAUAGAUCGCCGUUCUUGAAGAAGGGCCCAUGGACGCCGGAGGAGGACAAGCUGCUGGUGGACUACAUCCAGAAGAAUGGCAUGGGCAACUGGGGGGCCAUCCGGCGGCUCACUGGCCUCGACCGCUGCAGCAAGAGCUGCCGCCUACGCUGGACCAGGCACCUACGCACUAACAUCAAGCGUGGCGGCUUCACUGACGACGAGGGGAAGCUCAUCAUCCAACUCCACUCCAUCCUCGGCAACAAGUGGGCACAGAUCGCGGAGAAGAUGCCGGGGAAGACGGACAACGACAUAAAAAAUUACUGGAACAUGCACCUGCGGAAGAAGUUAUUCCGCAAGGGCAUCGACCCCAACACACACCGUCUGUACCCCUACCUCAGCCCCAUCGCCGCUGCCGCCGGCGGUAGCUCAGGCACUGGCGCCGGCUGGGACAUUUAUGAUCUCAUGCUCCAGGUUGACAGCGCCAUGAACCACCUGCUCCAAGGCCAUUGUUCGGUGAUCAGUUCUUCGUUGGGCGCCAUGAGAUCCCUUGUUGGGAAGCUGGACAUGCUGCUGCUAGCUCCUUCAUCUCGUCAGGGGUUCUCCUCCAAGAGGGUGAAGGAUGGGAUGCGCCUCCUUAAAGAUGAUGUUGAAGAGAUAAGCAUCUACCUUGAUGAACUGUUAGAGGUGGAGGACCCUCCCCCGAUAGCCAUGUGCUGGAUGAAUGAGGCACGCGAACUGUCCUAUGAUAUGGAGGAUUACAUGGACAACUUAUUAUUUGUGCCACCUGACUAUGUAAACAACAACAGGCAGAAGAAGAAGCGGAAGAAAAAGAAGAUGAUAAAGAAGAGGAUCAAGUGGUACAAAUAG
rnacentral:rRNA from 1 species